rfam:Ictidomys tridecemlineatus contig012794, whole genome shotgun sequence.
GGGGUUGUGGCUCAGUGGUAGAGCAUUUGCCUAGCAAAUGUGAGGCGCUGGGUUCAAUCUUCAGCACCA